rnacentral:rRNA from 1 species
UACGUAGGGACCAAGCGUUGUUCGGAUUUACUGGGCGUAAAGGGCGCGUAGGCGGCGUGGUAAGUCAGCUGUGAAAUCUCCGAGCUUAACUCGGAACGGUCAGUUGAUACUGCUGUGCUAGAGUACAGAAAGGGCAAUCGGAAUUCUUGGUGUAGCGGUGAAAUGCGUAGAUAUCAAGAGGAACACCUGAGGCGAAGGCGGGUUGCUAGGCUGAUACUGACGCUGAGUGCGCGAAAGCUAGGGUAGCAAACGGG